rnacentral:rRNA from 1 species
UACGAAGGGGGGCUAGCGUUGUUCGGAUUUACUGGGCGUAAAGCGCACGUAGGCGGAUCGAUCAGUCAGGGGGUGAAAUCCCAGAGCUCAACUCUGGAACUGCCUUUGAUACUGUCGAUCUGGAGUAUGGAAGAGGUGAGUGGAAUUCCGAGUGUAGAGGUGAAAUUCGUAGAUAUUCGGAGGAACACCAGUGGCGAAGGCGGCUCACUGGUCCAUUACUGACGCUGAGGUGCGAAAGCGUGGGGGAGCAAACAGG